GCCCACCAAUAAUAAUAAUAAUAAUAACAAAAACAAUAAUAAUAAUAAUUAUUAUUAUUAUAUUUUUAUUAGUUAUUAAUAAAAGAUGUAGUAAUAAUGAUUUCAAUCAAUAUAACCAACCAAACCUUUACCCCUCUCAGGAUCACGAAGGAGAUUUCUUGCUUCAAAAGGUGUUACAACACCUUCUUCAGAUACGGAUCAUCUCAGCCUGCAUCGAUGCACAGUACCUGUACUGCUGCCCCCAGUACUUCUGGUACCACUGAACAAAUCACUGCUACCUCCUCCAGGACAACAGAACCAAGUGCUGCUACCUCCUCCAGGACAACUGAACCAAGUGCUGCUAUAGGGUUGCAAAGGGGCAGAAAAUUUCCGUGUUACCUCCUCCAGGACAACUGAACCAAGUGCUGCUACCUCCUCCAGUGUUACCUCCUCCACGACAACAGAACCAGAGAGGAGUGAAUACUUCAGUGAGCUCUCAGCUUCAACCAUUUGUGCAAUAAGCAACGUUCCCUCAACUGAUGUUAUUGAUCAGGAGGAGAGAACAGCACCCCAAGGGCACGCUGCAGCUCGGGCAAAAAAGCUAACAUCAGAUGAUCCAGCUCAAUGGCCUGGUGUUCUCAGCAAUGAGGAAAAGUGUUUACUUGUUAAAAGAGGACCUGUUCAGAUCUUCAUCUCCUUUCCAACCUGACGGAUGGUCUUCCCCUGUUGAACCUCUUUCACUGCUCUUUCUAACUCCUCAAGAGGAGUUGAAAUCCUGUCUGUCUUCCGUUUGUAUUUGCGUGGCAUGAUAGAUUUUGGUCUAAAAUUAAGAAUGUCACAUAGUGUUAGUGAUCAAAUGUAAGAAUACAAUGUACAAUAACAGUAAAAUAUAAUAAAGUAAUAUAUAUUAAAUAAUCGUAAGUUGGGGUAAGUUGUGCCAGUGGCACAACUUAAGCCAGGCCCUUUGGCACAAAUCACCCCAAGCCCACCAUUUUGAAAAAAAUGCAUCCCCCAGCUGUUUUGAGCUAGCAUCAUGCUAACUGUAUAGACUCAUGGUGUAGCUUACUAAAGCACUAAAACAUGUGUGAACUGUUUUCAAAGUUGUCAAUAAUUGUUCAAACACAGCGAUCAAAAAACCCGAUCAUAGAAAUUUUACUUUGGAGGGCAUAAAAUUGUUUUUUGAAUUUAAAUGUGCUUACCUCUCAAGCCAUGUGUCUCCCUUCUUUGCAGGAUGAGUGAAAUGGAUGCCUCUUCAGAAAUAGGUGGUCACAUGGCCAACUUCUUCUAGGGUUUUCUAGAUAACAGGGGUGGAACUACUUGCCCCUUGGCACAAAUUACCCCACUCUCCCCUAUAAGAAAAGAACUGAUGUCUUGGCGUUUCCUGCUGUGCACAAACAUAUGGUAUGACAUCCUUUACCAAAUUAACAGAGUUAGCAAGCUUUUACAGAGUCUCACUUCUUCUCUUGAAGUUCUUCGAAAAGAGACAUGUGCAGUCCAACAGUACUUGCAGCACUUUAGAAAAAAAUUAUGGAAGCGAAUGUGACUCAAAACUCAAAUUCAAAAGCAUUAGCAGAAAUGCUUUUGCAUUUCAAAGUCAUGGCUGCACUAUUUGACUCAAAACUAAAAUUAAAAAGCAAU